GUAGGCAACUAACUAAGUAACAAUAUUAGUUAAACAUAAAGCAAAAACAACUUCUUGUUACACAAUUCAAUUAAUUCACUGAUUAAUUGCAGAGGCAAAGCCUAAGGCUAUACUAGAUAUGAUGAAAUCUAAUUUGAUAUCACUUUCUCAUGGUAAAAGCCAUUUACAGAAAUGCUGAUCUUCAGAACGUGUGCAUAAAGCUUUGCGAGUGAAAUGAGUUAUCUUUGUCUUUUAGAAAGAUCUGAGGAAGGACAUAGAACAAAUAGAGUCACAGAGCUUCAACUCAACAUCCAUACGCAAAUUGAGGAAUUGUGACAAUUGCAACCAGAGGUUUGAAAGAGCAUUUCCCAACAUCAAGGUAAUAUGCAAUUUUGGACACAACGAGAAAUGGCAGUUCCGAAAUAUGUCAACUGUUUAAAGCCACUCUAUUUUCUCAUCUACUUGUCUUGAUUAAGCCUUUCCUGGCUGUGAUGUAAUGCUGGUAGCAAUAGUAUAUUUGACUGGUAAAUCUCUUCUGAACAUAGUGUUCUGCAUAAAUC